rnacentral:misc_RNA from 1 species
GAUGAAGAACGCCGCAAAAUGCGAUAAGUAAUGUGAAUUGCAGAAUUCAGUGAAUCAUCGAAUCUUUGAACGCACAUUGCGCCCGCUGGUAUUCCGGCGGGCAUGCCUGUUCGAGCGUCAUUUCAACCCUCAAGCCCCCGGGUUUGGUGUUGGGGAUCGGCUCUGCCCUUCUGGGCGGUGCCGCCCCCGAAAUACAUUGGCGGUCUCGCUGCAGCCUCCAUUGCGUAGUAGCUAACACCUCGCAACUGGAACGCGGCGCGGCCAUGCCGUAAAACCCCAACUUCUGAAUGUUGACCUCGGAUCAGGUAGGAAUACCCGCUGAACUUAAGCAUAUCAAUAAGCGGAGGA